rnacentral:rRNA from 1 species
UCGAACGCCCCGCAAGGGGAGUGGCAGACGGGUGAGUAACGCGUGGGAACAUACCCUUUCCUGCGGAAUAGCUCCGGGAAACUGGAAUUAAUACCGCAUACGCCCUACGGGGGAAAGAUUUAUCGGGGAAGGAUUGGCCCGCGUUGGAUUAGCUAGUUGGUGGGGUAAAGGCCUACCAAGGCGACGAUCCAUAGCUGGUCUGAGAGGAUGAUCAGCCACAUUGGGACUGAGACACGGCCCAAACUCCUACGGGAGGCAGCAGUGGGGAAUAUUGGACAAUGGGCGCAAGCCUGAUCCAGCCAUGCCGCGUGAGUGAUGAAGGCCUUAGGGUUGUAAAGCUCUUUCACCGGAGAAGAUAAUGACGGUAUCCGGAGAAGAAGCCCCGGCUAACUUCGUGCCAGCAGCCGCGGUAAUACGAAGGGGGCUAGCGUUGUUCGGAAUUACUGGGCGUAAAGCGCACGUAGGCGGAUAUUUAAGUCAGGGGUGAAAUCCCAGAGCUCAACUCUGGAACUGCCUUUGAUACUGGGUAUCUUGAGUAUGGAAGAGGUAAGUGGAAUUCCGAGUGU